rnacentral:rRNA from 1 species
GACGAACGCUGGCGGCGUGCUUAACACAUGCAAGUCGAACGGGAAGACAUGAAGAGCUUGCUCUUUAUGAAAUCCAGUGGCAAACGGGUGAGUAACACGUAAACAACCUGCCUUCAGGAUGGGGACAACAGACGGAAACGACUGCUAAUACCGAAUACGAUUCUUGAGUCGCAUGACACAAGAAAGAAAGGGUGGCCUCUACUUGUAAGCUAUCGCCUGGAGAGGGGUUUGCGUCCGAUUAGGUAGUUGGUGAGGUAACGGCCCACCAAGCCGACGAUCGGUAGCCGGUCUGAGAGGAUGAACGGCCACAUUGGAACUGAGACACGGUCCAGACUCCUACGGGAGGCAGCAGUGGGGAAUCUUCCGCAAUGGGCGAAAGCCUGACGGAGCAACGCCGCGUGAGUGAAGACGGCCUUCGGGUUGUAAAACUCUGUGAUUCGGGACGAAAGAUAAGUAGACGAAUAAUCUGCAU